GGCAGAAUUUCACAGGGACCGGGAAGUGUUCAGCAAGAAAAACUGAAGCAGAGCCUCAGGGUUAAAAGAGCCCAUAGAAAUCAUCUGAUGGAAUCCCCAGCGUGUGAAACGAAGAUGCUAUCAGAUCAUUAAUCUGCUGCAUCAGAAGCAUUCGGAUGCUACGGUAGACAGAAGAAUGGUCCCCAAAGAUGCCCACGUCCUAACCCCCACUAUCUAACCGAGCCCAGGCUCAAGGAGGGGAGAUGACGUGAGGGCAUGCAGACCAGGAGAAGGCAUCACCGGGGUAGCUUCAAGGCUGCCUAUCACCGUCAUUUGUUCGUAGAAUGAAACUUUACUG